rnacentral:lncRNA from 1 species
CAGUGUCUCUUGGUGUGUUAGUUAAGUUUCUCCAGAGAAACAGAACAAAUAGGAGAUGUAUCUGUAUCUCUAUCUAUAUCUCUAUCUGUAUCUCUAUCUUCUAUUUAUCUAUGUAUCUAUCUAUAUAUGUAUGUAUGUAUCUAUCUAUAUUCAAUCCAAAAUAAUAUCCCUCUCACAUACUGUUCUCCUACUUUGUUUUAAGAGGAUGGAUUUGGUAGAAAUAUGAGGUCACUGGGAAGGUGGGUGGGGAAAAUUUAUUAAGAGAAUAAGUAUAGAGCUAAUUCCAUAAUUGAUGGAGGAUGUAUAACCAAUAACUGAGGAUAAAUAAUAAAGGAUAAUAAUAAGGAUAAAUAAUAAAUUGAAGAACUUUUACAUGGCCACUGUAUGGUGUGAGCUGUGGAAUCAGUAAGAUGAAUAAAGAGCACUGUCAAGUAACCACAAACAUAGAACUGACAUUUUUAAAAAAAUAAAUUGCUAGUGAUCUAGGCUUAUUCCAGCAAUUGUGUGUGGCUUGGGUGUAAAAUAGAUGAUUAUAAUAUUAGGUGGGACAUAUUUAAUGAUUAAACAGUGGAGACCAGCUGUUAGAAAAAUCAUUCUUGAGGUACUGACAAUGGAAAUUUUUUCCUAGGUGAAGUUGAUGGUAUCUGCUAGGGAGAUUAUAAAGGGAUUAAUUAAAGAUAAAUGGCCACAUGAACAAAAGAAAGUUUAUAGUGAUUAAAAGUGUUCUUUUGCAGGAAGACAGUUUGAUAUAUAAAGUUGCAUGACAAACUUGCUGGAUGGAGACUAUCAUGUGGGAUUAUGGGUACAGAGAUGAGAAAAGAUUAGGAACAAGGGGGCACUUUCAACAUCCUGGGAUCACAUCUCACCUGUAAUCUCUUUUUCCACUUAGAGUUUCUUACAGCAGUGUCUGACUAGACCACUUGAAAUAUCAACAAGCAUGGGACAUGCAUAUAUUACUGGUUUGAAGAAUUGUUUCAGACAUAAUAACACUCUCAGAAGGCAGGGGUGGGGGAUAGUUCUCUUAAGGAUACACAAGUGUUUUUCUCAUGGCCAAAUCAGAUCUCAGUGCCGCCAAACAGAUGAUAUUAGAAACUCUCAUAAUUAAAAUAUUUAACUGUGGGGUUGUAUGAACAUAUUCCAACAUUAGGUAAUUAAAAGUUAAAGCAAAAUUGUUUGACAUGUUAAAUGAUUAAAAUCAUUUUGUUUCUAUUUUGGUUUAAAAUGAGGUCUGGUCUGACAGUAUGCCCUAAAAGGUGAAAACCCACAACUGUGGCAAGUUGUUAGCCACCUUUCAUCUCUGUUCUCCCUUCCUUUAGUAUUAGAACACUUUACUUUCAGGUGGGGGCAUGAUUGUUCUCAAUGAGGCUCUAUUUCCUAGAAACUCCCUCCCCUCUGGGUUGCUGUGACCCUGUUACUAAGUUCUGGUCAGUAAAAGGAAAGCAGGAGAGUCAACUUCUUGGAAUCUCCCCUAAAAGGCAGCUCAGGCAUGUCAUUUGCCCUCUGUCCUUUCUUCUUAGUGCCCUCCUCCUUCCUUCCGGCUAGAAUGAGAGUGGCUAUAUUGAACUGUGAUAUGACCUUGAAAAUAUCUAGGCCACACACAACAGCAAUCAGGUAGAAGGAGCCUGGAUGGGGGAACUUGGGGAUCAAAACUGCCCUACAAGCCUAACGUACCUCCAGACUCAUACAUGACAGGGAAACAAGCUGCUAUUCUGUGUACAGCUUUUGACUCAAAGCUAAGAUGAAUGCUUGCUGAAACAUCGGGCUACUGUCAAAAAGCCAAGCUAUCAAUCUUUUCUUCAAAAAUUUCUUCUAAACUGUAAGAUGGAAAGAGGUGGGUCGAAAGACUGAAUCAUUGAUGAGCUAGAAACAGAAGACUCUUGCCUUCCUGAAUCUGGAUAGGGAAUUGUCAUCCCAUUCUCAUUAACUGUCACCUGGAUCAAGAAAAUAAACAAAAAGUCUGUAUCAGACAACUAAGAAAUGGAUCCUAAAACAGGUGCUCUCUCAGGCAACCAACUCCUCUCCUUUUCUCCUACCACUUUACAUCUUUCUGCAUCCAGCUUGAGAUUAAAUCUUCCAGAAAAUAAAUAGUUGAAAUAUGUUGGAAAACAAGCUAUUGUAUUGUAUUUGGGGAUUUGUAGUUUCAACAGGAAAAGAGAUGGAUUUUGAUGGGGGGAUGGUGCAGAAACAAGAAAGAAAUUCAUGUCAGCAGACUCUAGGGACUCUUGUUUUGCCAUGUACUUCAUCUGUUCUUUGUGUCAAAUGAUCAGGCACUUGAGACAAAACAUGAUCCUGUUUCAAUCCAGGAGAGCUACAAGAUUGAAGACAUCAGGAUUUAGACUGAGUUGUGCAUAUUAACUUUCUGUCAGUGAAUCUCAAAAUAUUUCACCAGCAUUCAAGUGAACAGAGAGUAAAGACAGAGGGAAUCUACACACUCUAUCUGUUAAUAAAUACUAAAUCUGAAUCAAUUUGUCCUCUCUCUGAGGUUGACUAAGAAAUACAUAGAUUGGAGGGGGAAAAAACUUGGAAAAAAUAGAAACUUGGGGAGGAGAGCAGACCUAUAAUAACCAUUAAUGAUAGGUAAUAGUGUUAACUUUAGAAAGGUCUUUGUUCUGCCGUAGUAGAGGAGCUGAUGGCUGAUUGGCUGCUCCAUGGCAACCACAGGCCAAUGGACAAUGGAACAGUGUCCACAAGGUAUCUAAGUGGGGAAUAACAUUCUGGGAUGUUUAUCCUUUCAAAGGUGUUUUGUUUGGUUUUUUUGUUUGUUUGUUUUCUUGAGAAGCAGUUUUUUUUGUUUUGGUUUGGUUUUGGUUUUGGUUUUUUUUUUUUUGGUCUUUUUGCUAUUUUUUGGGCCGCUCCUAAGGCAUAUGGAGGUAGCCAGGCUAGGGGUCCAAUCGGAGCUGUAGCCACCGGCCUAUGACAGAGCCACAUCAACGCGGGAUCCGAGCCUCGUCUGCAACCUACACCACAGCUCAGGGCAACGCCGGAUCGUUAACCCACUGAGCAAGGGCAGGGACCAAACCCGCAACCUCAUGGUUCCUAGUCGGAUUCGUUAACCACUGCGCCACGACGGGAACUGCCGUGAAGCAGUUUUUAAAGUUAUUCUUAGAUAUUGACUGACAUAAAAUGUAACAUCUAUACAUCAUUUUUAAUUGAAUUUAAAACAUAUAGCAACUGAUCAGGAGAUAAAACAGAAUUGAAAAAUCCAUCCCAAGGAAAUCACAUGUAAAAAUAUUGGUAGGGAACAUUCAAAACAUUUAAAAACAGCUAAAAGUCAUAUUGCAUUUUCACAAAACUAAAGUCAAAUAUCUAAAAAUAAUUGUUGAGUGAAAAGGUAGGUUAAUAAAAAUUAUAAUUUAAUAAAGCAUAAUUUAAGACUUAGAGUUAUAGCAAGAACAAGAAAUAGAGUAGAAUAAUACAAACAAUGCCCAAUUCCUAAUGUGACAGCGGGGUAAUUCAAGAACAUUAUUUAAUUAUUGAAUAUUACAAUUAGAGUAAUAUAGGUUCCUAUAAUGAAAGUAUAAAACAUGCAUGGAACUAAUACCUACUUCAGGAUAGUGGUUCUUUCCAGGGAAUGUGGAACAGGACUUUGGCUACAUCCAUAAUGGUUUGUUUGUUUAAGAGAAAGAUCUGAAACAAGUUGAGCAAACUAUUAACAUUUGUUAAAUCUGACUGCAACAUUGAUGCCUCUUGUGGGUUGUAUUAUUUUCUGUGUUUUCCAUAGGUUUGUAAUACUUUACAGUGUAAAAGAUGAAUUUUUGGAAAAUUUUUUUGGGCUGCACCCAUGGCAUAUGGAAGUUCCCAGGCUACGGGUCUAAUUUGAGCUGCAGCUACCAGCCUACACCAUGCCACAGCAGCUCAGGAUCCAAGCUACAUCUGUGACCUAUAUCACAGCUCACCACAACACUGGAUCCUUAACCCACUGAGCAAGGCCAGGGAUUGAACCCACAUCCUCAUGGAUCCUGGUUGGUUUUGUUAACUGUUGGGCCACAAAGGGAACUCUGACUUUUGGAAACUUAAAGAUAACUGCUAAGUAAAAUUAAAAGCAAAACUUCUACCCAUUUAUCAACUGAAAGUGAUAAAGCAAGCUAUGUACUAUGCAAGAAAGUACAGUAGAGGAAAACAUAGACAAUGUGGAAAGAAUCAGAAAAACAGUCAAUAGAAAUGACGAAAUUAAAACCAUUAUGAGAAUUUCUAUAAAUUAUUUCAAACUGUUUAUCAAAUAACUAGUAAUAAUGAUAAUAAUUCUCAGUAUUUAUUACUUCUCAAUAUCUGCCUGGCACUAUACUAUGUUACCCUAGAUCUUUUAAAUGUUUUAUAUCACUUAAUCCUUACAACAGCUUUGUGAAUCAAAGCUGAAAUCCUCACUUAAGUUGAAAAUAUAAUUAAACCAAAAGAUACAUUUUUUAAAAUGACAAAGAAGUUAGAAAUACUCAAUGUUUUACCAACCAAAAGAAAAAGAAAACGGAGAUCAUUAAAUAUUAACAUUAGACAAAAUAUAAUUAAAGACAAAAAUCACUAACUCCUAUAUAGAUUAAUUUUACAUUAUAAAAAGUGAGGUUCUGGAGUUCCCUGGUGGUCUUGUGGAUAAGGACUUGGUGUUGCCGCUGCUGUGGUGCGAGUUUAAUCCCUAGGCCAGGAACUUUUGCAUGCCACAAGUGUGGCCAAAAAAAGGGAUAUUCCAUAAUUAAUAUUUAAUAAGUUUUAGUCUUUCUAUAAAAGAGUACUAUAACAUUUAAAUAAUUGAUCAAAUUAUUAGAAAUGCAGAGGAAAAUUAUGUGUGAAUUCGACAUCUUUAUUUCUGGAUCAAGAGACAAAAAAAUAAUGACAGAAUAAAAUAUUGUUCAAUACGGAAUUUAGGGCUAGGCUUCUCGAGUUCUUGAAAUCCUAGAGCUCUAUGUAAAUUGCGUGUGUACAUGACUGUGAACUUUUCUGGCAACAUGAUACUCCCAUCAUAUCCUCAGAAGAGAUCCAUGACUCCCACCAGAUUUUACCCUAUAAUAAGAGACUACACUUAAAAAAUAAUAAUAAUCCAUGGAAUAUUUUUUAAAACAUUAUGUACAGAGUCCCGAGUGGAAAAUACCUGGGAUUAUUCUUGAGAUUACUUAUUUGAAGUCUGGCUUUCUCACUGCAGUUCAUAUUCUAAGAAAGUAGGGACCAUAAUUAUCUUAUUUUGUGAUUCUCCACCCAGUAUAAAAGAUUACAUAUAGAUUAAUUGAUUGAGUUAAAUUCACCAGUAACCUUGGGAAAAGUUAGUAUUUUGUCAAAAAGAUUACCUCCUCAAGCAAGUCUAGAUCCAGACAAUUUUACAGGUGAAUUCUAACAAAUUCUAAGUGCCUAAAAACUCUUAGCAUUUUCAUAGUAUGUUAAAAAAAGCAAAUACAAGAAGUAAAAUUUCUCAAAUUCAAAAGUAUGGAACUCAAAAACCAAAGCCUGAACAAAACAGCUGUGAAAAUCCAAUAGAUGUACAUAACGCAUAUGUGUAUAUGUGUGUGUGCAUAUGUGUGUUUAUGCACACAUAUAUCAGGCAUAAAUAUUAUAAAAUAAAUUCAACGAUGCAUAAAAAAUAUAUAACAAUAUAGCAGGUAUUCUAAAUUCAAGAAUAAAGAUAUUGUUUGAUAUAAAAGAAUCUAGUCAGUUAUUUUCCAUUAUUCCUUUUCAUUAUUUUCCAUUUUAGGAAAACAGCAGCAUAUCAAAUGAAAAAAAUAAUAAUCAUCUUGAUAUAUGCCAAAAGAGUAAUUUGAUUAGAAUUUACAUGCAUACUGAUGAUAACUUUUUAAGUACUACUAAAAGGAAGAUGUUCUUUUAAGCUGAUAAAGAAUAGGCAUCUGAAACCAUCAGCCUAUUUCAUAUUUAAGUAUAAUACUAGAAACACUAGGAGUAUAACCAUCAAAACCAAAAAUAAGGCAAGAAUGCUAUUUAUUUGUAUCUAUUGAAAAGAAGAUAAAUUGUCUGUUGAUGUCUAUAUAUACUUGGAAACAAGGAAAACUGAAACAAGACACAUUUAAAAAUACCGUUAGAAAGUUCCCAUGGUGGCUCAGCAGUAACAAGUCUGACUAGUAUCCAUGAAGAAGUGGUUUUAAUCCCUGGCCUUGCUCAAUGGGUUAAGGAUCUGGCCUUGUGAUGAGCUGUGGUGUAGGUCACAAAUGCAGCUCCGAUCCAGCAUUGCUGUGGCUGUGGUGGAGGCCAGUAGCUGCAGCUCCAAUUCAACCCCUAGCCUGGGAACUUCCAUAUGCCACAGAUGCAGCCCUAAAAAGACUAAAUUAAUUAAUUAAUAAAAAGUAUAGUUAGAAAUAAAAUAAUUCUAGAUCAGGUCAAAAUAAAAGUUUGCAACAGGAGUUCCUGGUGUGGCUCAACAAGUUAAGGACCUGCCAUCUUUAUGAGGAUGUGGGUAUGACCUCUGGCUUUGCUCAGUGGCUUAAGGAUCCAGCAUUGAUGAAAAUUGUAGUAUAGGUUGCAGAUGUGGCUUGGAUCCAGUGUUGCCCUGGCUGUGGCAUAGAUCACAGUUGUAGUUCCAAUUCAACCCCUGGCCUGGGAACUUCCAUAUGCUGCAGGUGUGGCCAUAAAAAACCAAUAAUUUGCAAUAAAGUUAUAACAAGACUGUAUGUACUUUUGUUAUGUAAUGCAAAAGUGAUAAAAAGAGAAGUCAAGUAACUAGAUACAAAAUGAAUAUACAAAAAAUAAUAGGUUUUCUAUAAACCUAUAAAA